UGGGGAAUAUUGGACAAUGGGCGCAAGCCUGAUCCAGCAAUGCCGCGUGUGUGAAGAAGGCCUUCGGGUUGUAAAGCACUUUUAUCAGGAGCGAAACGCUGUCGGCUAAUACCCGGCGGAACUGACGGUACCUGAGGAAUAAGCACCGGCUAACUUCGUGCCAGCAGCCGCGGUAAUACGAAGGGUGCAAGCGUUAAUCGGAAUUACUGGGCGUAAAGCGUGCGUAGGCGGUUUCUUAAGUCUGCUGUGAAAUCCCCGGGCUCAACCUGGGAAUGGCAGUGGAUACUGGGAGGCUAGAGUGUGUCAGAGGGUGGUGGAAUUCCCGGUGUAGCGGUGAAAUGCGUAGAGAUCGGGAGGAACAUCAGUGGCGAAGGCGGCCACCUGGGACAACACUGACGCUGAGGCACGAAAGCGUGGGGAGCAAACAGGAUUAGAUAACCUGGUAGUCCACGCCCUAAAGCGAUGCGAACUGGAUGUUGUCUCAACUCGGAGAUCAGUGUCGAAGCUAACGCGUUAAGUUCGCCGCCUGGGGAGUACGGUCGCAAGACUGAAACUCAAAGGAAUUGACGGGGUCAUAGCUGUUUCC
rnacentral:rRNA from 1 species